CUCUCUUUCAGGGCUAGGCAUUUGUGAUCCUUCUCCUCUUUGGUCACUAAUGUUGUGGGUAAGUGACAAUGACAUAGGGACAUUAGAAUUGUUGUCAAGGAGAUGGGAUUGUAGGUUGGUGCCAUUCUUACGUGAUACAAAUAGCUGUUUCUCUGUUUUCCUGGGAGCCGCUACAGCUUACCACCUUUACUACACAACGCUUGAACAGCGGGAAGUUUUACACCUCCAUCUCGAAGUGUCAUCAUCUCACCUGAAGCCAUGGCUGUCCACAUGUCAUUCAGAGGGUCUUGCUGAAUUGCCCAGGCUGGGCUUGAUCUCAUGAUCCUCCGGCCCGUGACCUACCAAGGUCCCCAGUCGUGCAGAAGAUGCCGAAUCACCCCGCUGCAGAAGAGUGGCCACCUGGUUCCACACUACAAAGAUGCAGAGGACACCAGACCACCCGACCAAGGUACUGUGUCCCGCUGUUCCCGGCCCAGAGGUAGGGGCUUCUGAGCCAUCGUCCCACUGCUCCUGGUCCAGAGGAAGGGGCUUCCAGGCCACCAUCCCUCCCACUGCUCCCAGCCCACAGGAAAGGGCUUUUGAGUCACCAUCCCUACCGCUGCUCACGGCCCCUGUCCCACCUCACCCAGCUCAGAGGAGGUAAUCCGUGCAGGCACUAACAGCCCCCCACCCCAGUCGAAAUGAGAAAACAUGUAAAUAAGUCUCAAAACCAGACUUCCAGAUCACCUACAGCAACCCCAAAGGGAAAUGAGAUGGAACACUCUGAUAU
rnacentral:lncRNA from 1 species